rnacentral:tRNA from 1 species
GGGGAUAUGGCGAAAUCGGUAGACGCUACGGACUUUAUUAUUAUGAAUAUGAAAAAAUAGAAGAAUUUUUACGAAUCAAUUUAAAGUUGAAAUUUUAAAAAGAAUAAAAUAUUCAUUCAUCAAAUCAUUCACUCCAUAGUCUAAUAAAUCUUUUGAAGAUCUGAUUAAUCGGACGAGAAUAAAGAUAGAGUCCCAUUCUACAUGUCAAUACUGACAAUAAUGAAAUUUAUAGUAAGAGGAAAAUCCAUCGACCUUUAAAAUCGUGAGGGUUCAAGUCCCUCUAUCCCCA